CUGCCCCUUGUCACUUCCAGGACCCGGCGAACGCGGCGGCGGCGGCCGCCGAUGGCUCCGGAUUGACGGACAGGCCACACAGCUGUCAGUGGAUGUCGCAUGGCGUACCGGUCUCUCGACGACGAUGGAUCUGGCCUCUUUCCUUCUUCUUGCUCGCUUCCUGUUUGAGAUGUGUGCGCGCAAUUGUUGCGCAGGUGGACGAGAGUUGCUUACCAGACGACGGCUCGACUGUUGCAAAGGCGAGGCCGGCUGUGACGUGGUGGUUGCAACAAUGACAAUUCAAAGGCGCUGGGAGUAAGGAAACCUAGAGAGAGCUACAACACAUCACUGGGCACCAGACGGGUGCGACAUUGACAUUGGGAGCUUGUCAAGAGCAGAACGGUGCGCACAUCACGCUGGAGACACAAAGGCAAAAGUUGCGAGCUCACCUCUGUGCCCCUGUGACACCGCGACCUGCUGAGUCGUCCAGACGAAAGCAAACACCAAGCUUCCGCACUCCAUAAAAUCCUCCACCUUAAAUGCACACGUUUACGGUUGUCGAAAA